CAUGUCUUUUUGAAUUUAGUAUAAAGUCUAGUCUGCCCACUGAUAUAAUUAUUAAAUGGCCGCAGUAUUUUAACUGUGCAAAGGUAGCAUAAUCAAUAGUCUUUUAAUUGAAGACUAGUAUGAAUGAUUGGACGAGAUAUAGGCUGUCUUAAGAAAAAAUUAAGUUGAAUUUUAUUUUUUAGUUAAAAAGCUAAACUGAUUUUAAAAGACGAGAAGACCCUAUAGAUCUUUAUAAAAAUAAUAUUUAUUUUUUAAAGUAAUUGUUUUAAAUUUAUAUUUAUUUUUAUUUUAUUGGGGUGAUAUUGAAAUUUAAUUAACUUUCAAUAAUUAUUGAACAUUAAUUUAUGAUUAAUUGAUCCUUUAUUAUUGAUUAAAAAUUUAAGUUACCUUAGGGAUAACAGCGUAAUUAUUUUGGAGAGUUCUUAUCGAUAAAAUAGAUUGCGACCUCGAUGUUGGAUUAAGGUUAAUUUUGGGUGUAGCAGCCUAUAAUAUAAG
rnacentral:rRNA from 1 species